AAUGAACGCUGGCGGCGUGCCUAACACAUGCAAGUCGAAUGUGCCGCAAGGUGCAUGGCAGACGGGUGAGUAACGCGUGGGCAAUCUACCUUUUCGUGGGGAAUAACGAUCCGAAAGGAUUGGUAAUACCGCAUGAGACCAAUGGCUGGGAUGCUGUUGGUGAAACCUGGGGACCGCAAGGCCUGGGGCGAAAAGAGGAGCCUGCGUCUGAUUAGCUAGUUGGCGGGGUAACGGCCCACCAAGGCGACGAUCAGUAGCCGGCCUGAGAGGGUGAUCGGCCACACUGGAACUGAGACACGGUCCAGACUCCUACGGGAGGCAGCAGUGGGGAAUUUUGCGCAAUGGACGAAAGUCUGACGCAGCAACGCCGCGUGGGUGAUGAAGGUCUUCGGAUUGUAAAACCCUGUCGCAGGGGAAGAAUAAGCAUCGGUAUAAUACGCCGGUGCCCUGACGGUACCCUGCAAGAAAGCACCGGCUAACUCCGUGCCAGCAGCCGCGGUAAU
rnacentral:rRNA from 1 species